rnacentral:rRNA from 1 species
CCCUUAGAUGUCCUGGGCCGCACGCGUGCUACACUGACACUUACACCGAGUUUUUCCGGCCCCGAGAGGUGGCUGGUAAUCAGUAAUAGGUGUCGUGAUGGGGAUAGAUCUUUGGAAUUAUUGAUCUUGAACGAGGAAUGCCUAGUAAUCGUAGGUCACCAGCCUGCGAUGAUUACGUCCCUGCCCUUUGUACACACCGCCCGUCGCUCCUACCGAUUUCGAGUGGUCCGGUGAACCUUUCGGACAGAGAGAGUCUCGUACAAUCUCUGAAAGUCAAGUAAACCACAUCACUUAGAGGAAGGAGAAGUCGUAACA